rnacentral:rRNA from 1 species
ACUCCUACGGGAGGCAGCAGUGGGGAAUAUUGCACAAUGGGGGCAGCUAGCUGANCAGCCAUGCCGCGUGUGUGAAGAAGGCCUUCGGGUUGUAAAGCACUUUCAGUCGUGAGGAAGGUAGUGUAGUUAAUAGCUGCAUUAUUUGACGUUAGCGACAGAAGAAGCACCGGCUAACUCCGUGCCAGCAGCCGCGGUAAUACGGAGGGUGCGAGCGUUAAUCGGAAUUAUUGGGCGUAAAGCGCAUGCAGGUGGCUUGUUAAGUCAGAUGUGAAAGCCCGGGGCUCAACCUCGGAAUUGCAUUUGAAACUGGCAGACUAGAGUACUGUAGAGGGGGUAGAAUUUCAGGUGUAGCGGUGAAAUGCGUAGAGAUCUGAAGGAAUACCGGUGGCGAAGGCGGCCCCUGGACAGAUACUGACACUCAGAUGCGAAAGCGUGGGGAGCAAACAGGAUUAGAUACCCUGGUAGACAUCAC